rnacentral:rRNA from 1 species
AGCAGCCGUGGUAAAUUCCAGCUCCAAUAGCAUAUAUUAAAGUUGUUGCAGUUAAAAAGCUCGUAGUUGAAUUUUGGAGUUCUUCCGUUGGUCAGGCUAACCAGUCUGUACUAGCGUGUAGAAUCCCUACCUUCUGGGGAACCAUCAUGUUAUUAAUUUAGCGUGGUGGGAAACCAGGACCUUUACCUUGAAAAAAUUAGAGUGUUCAAAGCAGGCUUACGUCUGAAUACAUUAGCAUGGAAUAAUAAAAUAGAACGGUGGUCCUGUUUUGUUGGUUUCUGAAUCACCGUAAUGAUUAAUAAGGAUAGUUGGGGGCAUUAGUAUUCAAUUGUCAGAGGUGAAAUUCUUGGAUUUAUUGAAGACUAACUUCUGCGAAAGCAUUUGCCAAGGAUGUUUU